AUGGCUCUGACCAUGUGUGUGUAGCGACUAACAGGGUUGCCAGGUACCCAUGACCGACAAGUGAAGCUCAGUUUUUGGGGCUUUACCCAGAAAACAAGAAAAAUUCGCUGUGGUCAAGAAGCAGAUAUCAGUGAGUUGUUCCGUUGGCCCCACUAUGGGGCUCCACUGGCUGGCGAGUGUUUGUCUGUACAGGUAGUCAACUGUAGUCGUGUAUUUAGCUCCAGGCCUCUGGGGACCCUGGUAAUCUCCCUACAAGAGCUACAGAAUGCUGGGCAUUUGGUGCUACGGGAGGCCCUAGUGGUUGAGAAUCUUCGAGUGCAUUGUCCUUGGGCCUCUCCUAUCCAGGUGGAGCUUGACCUGAAGUACCUGCCUCCAGAGGGUGCUACUGGGGCCUGGGCAGAGGAGAACUUUGGGGCACCCAUCUCUGACAGCUCGGAGCUGAUCAUCCCCAGUGUGGGCUUCCAGGAGCUGGAGCUUGGGCAGGCCCAGCUGGAGCGGUGAGCAGUAGUUUUGGGCCGCAGGCUAGCUCGAAGUCUAGGCCAGAAGGAUGAUGAGAACAAUGAGCUGGAGCUGGAGCUGGAGGAUGAGCCUGAGGUGGAGCUCUCAGGGGUUGUGUUCAGCCCCCUCAAGAGCUGAGCCUGGAACCUGGCCCUCAGGGAUCCCUUCCACAUGUCCAAAGCCUAAGACUUCCAGGUGGGCAUCACCAUGCUGGAGGCCCAGAAGCUGGUGGGAGUGAACAUUAACCCCUAUGUGGCAGUGCAGGUUGGGGAGCAGCGCUGAGUGACCACCACACAGCGUGGCACCAAUUGCCUCUUCUACAACGAGUACUUCUUGUUCGAAUUUCAUAAGACCCAGCUUCGCCUGCAAGACUUGCUGCUGGAGAUUACGGAGAGGUGGGCAUUCCAUUCGCAGACCCUCCCCUUUAUUGCCACUUGGAUAGGUACCUUCAGGAUGGACCUGGGCAUCGUGUUUGACCAGCCAGAUGGCCACUUCUACCAGAAAUGGGCUCCGCUGUAUGAUCCCCGGGACACCCGCGCCGGGACCAAGGGCUUUGUCAAAGUCACCUUGUUCGCGAGGGCCCGCGGUAAUCUGCCCCCUUCACUGCCACCCCCGGGCCCAGGGCACAGUUCGGACAUGGAGAAGAACCUGCUCUUGCCGCGCCAGGUGCCAGCCCAGAGGCCAUGGGCGCAACUUCGCGUGCGCGUGUACCACGCCGAGGGGCUUCCCGCGCUGCGCCAGGGGCUGCUGGGCAGCCUGGCGCGCGCCCUGCACCACCAGCGCGUCCUCAGGGAGCCCUAUGAGCGGGUGUCUUUCCUGGGCCAGCAGGGUGAGACAUCCGUGUGCCGCGAGGCAACAGCGCCUGAGUGGAACGAGUAGCUGAAUUUCGUGGAGCUCUUCCCGCCGCUCACGUGGAGUAUUCAUCCGCAACUGCGGGACCAUGCGCCCCUCGUUGAUGUGGCACUCGCCACGCACGUGCUGGACCUGAGGCAGAUCUCGCACCCGGGCCGCGCAGCCGGGUUUAACCCCACGUUCGGCCCAGCCUGGGUGCCUCUCUAUGGUUCACCACCCAGUGUGGGUCUUUGGGAUGGUCUUCAAAGUCUCAAUGAAGGCCUUGGUCAAGGCAUUUGGUUCCGAGGCCGCCUUCUGGUGGCUGUAUCCAUGGAGGUGUUAGAAGGGAGAGCUGAACUUGAGACUCCUCAGGCCCAACACCAGUCCAGGUUGUCGAGGCUCACCUGAAAGAAGAAGAAGAAAGCCAGUCGGGGUCAGAUGCCAAUGGGGGUUCCACAGCACGUGGAUGCCAGCUCCAGUGCGGCUGGAGCUGAGAGUCCUAGUGCCAUGGAGGUGGAGAUGGAGGAGCUGCUGCCACUGCCAGAGAAUGCCCUGGUGCCCUGCGAAGACUUCCUGCUCUUUGGUGUACUCUUUGAGGCCACCAUAAUUAACCCUGCUGUGGCCUCCCAGCCCAUCAGCUUCAAGAUUUCCAUUGGUCGCGCUGGCCGCCAUGAGGAAUAAUUGGACCAAGUUUCCAGGGUCUGGGAGGGAACUGAGGGUGCUGUGAGGGAUGCACAGCCUCUGUUGCAGUCCAAUGUGAGGGCCAGAACAGAGGAAGAGGAAGAGGAGCUGGGGACCCCGGCUCAGCGGCCUGAGCCCAUGGAUGGCAGUGGGCCAUAUCUCUGCCUGCCCCUGCGUCACCGCAAGCCAUGUGUACACGUGUGGAGCUGCUGGGAGGAUUACACAUGGCACCUGCAUAGCAGCAACUGCGUGAGCAAAGUGGCAGAAAGGCUGCUGAGUGCAAGGCUGGACCAGGGGCUGCAGGAGGUUGAGACACUGCAGCGCAGGCCUGGGCCAGGCGCCUGCACAUGGCUCAAGAGGACUCUGGAAGAGUUGGUGGCUGGAAGCGGGUGAUUUUGCCACGGCGCUGAGCACAGGACAAUGACCAGGCCCAGCGCCCUGGAUUGAUGCUGAGGGAAACUGCUGGUGCACAGUCUGAACCUGUUGGCAAAGUAAGGACUGUGGCUUCUAUGGGGCCUAAGACAGGGCAACAUGCAAAAGAAGUUGACAUUGGCCAAGAAGCUCCUGGCAAAACUGCACUUCCUGGCUCGGGAGCCUCAGCCACCCCUGCCUGAUGUGUUGGUCUGGAUGCUCAGUGGGCGGCACCGUGUGGCCUGGGCCUGGAUCCCUGCCCAGGAUGUACUGUUCUCUGUGGUCCAGGAGGAGUGGGGCCGAGACUGCGGGAGGAUCCAGACUCUGCUGCUUACAGCGCCUGGGGCAGGCCCUGGGGAGGUCUGUGCCAAGCUGGAGCUCUUCCUGUGGCUGGGGCUGGGCAAGCAAGCCAAGGCCUGCACCUUCGAGCUGCCCCCAGAUCUGCUGCCCGAGCCCUUGGCUGGGCCGCCCCACUGCCUGUGCCAGCAUGACUUUAGAUACUUCCAGUUCUGGGCUCACUUGUACCAGGCCCGAGGUGUGUUGGCAGCAGAUGACAGUGGCCUCUCGGACUCCUUUGCUCAAGUCCUCAUCUCUACCCAGUGCCAGACCACACAGGUCCUGGAGCAGACGCUGAGCCCCCUGUGGAAUGAACUCCUGGUAUAACGGCAGUAGGGAGGACCUGCAGGAGGAUUAGUGUCAUCAAUGUUUUUGACCACAACAAGCUUGGCCCCCCAGUAUUCCUGGGCAGGGCGCUGGCCGCCCCGAGGGUAAAGCUGGUGGAGGACCCAUACCAACGCCCUGAGCUGCAGUUCUUCCCCCGAGGAAGGGACCCCGGGCAGCUGGAGAGCUUAUUGCCACCUUUGAACUCAUUGAGCUGGACUACAGUGGCCGAUCUGAGCCCUCAGUGCCCAGUGAUGUGGAGCCCCUCUCUGGACGCCUGUCCCUGCCACCCAAUGCACGCCCAGUGCUCAGGGAGUUCCAGGUUGAGGUACUGUUCUGGGGUCUAAGGGGCCUUGGCCGUGUGCACCUGUUUGAGGUAGAGCAGCCCCAGUUGUGCUGGAGGUAGCUGGGCGACGUGUGGAGUCUGAGGUCCUGGCCAGUUACCAUGAGAACCUCAAUUUCACUGAGCUCGUCAGGCAUCUGACAGUGAACUUGCUGGAACAGCCUUACCUGCAGCCCCCACUCAGCAUCCUGGUAAUUGAGCGCCGGGCCUUUGGCCGCACAGUCCUUGUGGGUUCCCACAUUGUCCCUAGCAUGCUACGAUCCACAUUCCAGAGUCAUGAGGAUCCUCCCCGAGCAGGAAGGAGCGGAGGAGGAGACAGGGGACAUGGUGCCUAAGAGACCUAAAGCAAAGAAGCCCCUGGAUCCCUUCUUGGCUAAAGUGGGGGUCUGCAGACAUCUCCUGAAGGUUCCUUUGAAGAAGCUCCCCCUAGGAGGCCUCUUGAAUCAAGGCCUGAGCUGGAGGAGGACAUCCCAGAUCCGGAAGAGCUUGACUGGCGGUCCAAGUACUAUGCAUCCCUACAGGAGCUCCAGGGGCAGCCCAACUCUUAUGAAGAUAAAAUGGAUGAUCCUAGAGAUUCAGAAGGGGUCAACCUCAUUUCUGUGGAUGGGGAGACCCAAGACCAGGGUGAAGCUAAAGUGGAAGGUUCUGUGUCCUGGAAGAAAGCACUCGCCACCCUGAAGAUCUAUACCAGCUCCCUGGAGGAAGAAUUUAACCACUUUGAAGAUUGGCUGAAUGUGUUUCCCCUUUACCAAGGGCCAGGGGGCCAGGAUGGAGAUGGAGACAAAGAAGGAUCUGGACACCUGGUGGGUAAGUUCAAGGGCUCCUUCCUCAUCUAUCCAGAAUCAGAGGCAGUGUCAUUCUCUGAGCCCCAGAUCUCCUGGGGGAUCCCACAGAACCAGCCCAUCAAGCUCCUGGUCAGAGUCUAUGUUGUCAAGGCUACCGACCUGGCUCCAGCAGACCCGAAUGGCAAAGCAGACCCCUAUGUGGUGGUGAGCGCUGGCCGGGAGCGGCAGGACACCAAGGAGUGCUAUAUCCCCAAGCAGCUCAAUCCCAUCUUUGGAGAGGUCCUGGAGCUAAGCAUCUCUCUCCCUGCUGAGCCAGAGCUGACCAUUGCUAUUAUUUGAUCAUGACCUCCUGGGUUCUGAUGAUCAAUCAUUGGAGAGACCUACAUUGACCUGGAAAACUGAUUCUACAGUCACCACAGAGCAAACUGUGGGCUGGCUGCCCAGUAUGACGUGGAUGGGUACAAUGCCUGGCGUGAUGCAUUCCGGCCUUCUCAGAUCCUGGCAGGGUUGUACCAAUGCUGUGGCUUCCCUGCCCCUGAAUACUGAGCCGAGGCUGUCAAGGUGGGGAGCAAAGUCUUCCUAACACCACCUGAGAUGCUGCUACCAGGUAGGGCGGUGCCCCAGGAGGCAGGAGGGGCCCCCGAGGAAGCCCAGGCAUUGCUUGUGCUGUGACGCUGGCAAGAGAUGCCAGAUUUGGGGAUCCAGCUGGUACCUGAGCAUGUAGAAACACGGCCCCUCUACCAUCCCCGAAGCCCAGGCCUGCUACAGGGAUCCCUUCACAGGUGGAUUGACAUCUUUCCCAGAGAUGGCACCUGCCCCACCUCCAGUUGAUAUCAAGCCUCGGAAGCCAAUCAGCUAUGAGCUCAGAGUUGUCAUCUGGAACACGGAAGAUGUGGUUCUGGAUGACGUGAAUCCACUCACUGGGGAGAUGUCAAGUGACAUCUAUGUGAAGAGCUUGGUGAAGGGGCUGGAGCAUGACAAGCACAAGACAGAUGUUCACUUCAACUCCCUGACUGGGAAAGGGAACUUCAACUGGCGCUUCGUGUUCCGCUUUGACUAUCACCCCACGGAGCGGGAGGUGAGCGUCCGGAGCCAGCCCAGGCCCUUCGCUCUGGAGGAGGCCUAGUUCCGGCAGUCAGCCGUGCUGGUCCUGCAAGUCUGAGACUAUGACCGCAUCUCCGCAUCUGGACUCACAGGGUCCCUGGAGUUGCAGCUGUUGGACAUGGUGCAGGGGGGGCCCGGGGCCCUGAGCUCUGCUCGGUGCGGCUGGCCCACCAUGGGGCAGGGACGCAGUGCAAUCUGUUUCACUGCCGCCGCUUGCAGGGCUGGUGACCCGUGGUGAAGCUGCAGGAGGAGGAGGACUUGAUGCAGGAGGCCCCAGAAGGCAAGAAGAGACGAAGCAGAGGAGGAAGGGCCGGCCAGAAGACCUUGAGUUCACAGACACAGGCAGCAACGUGUAUAUCCUCACGGGGAAGGUGGAGGUAGAGUUUGAACUGCUGACCGUGGAGGAGGCUGAGAAGCGGCCAGUGGGGAAGGGGUGGAAGGAGCCAGAACCCCUGGAGAAGCCUAACCGCCCCAAAACCUCCUUCGACUGGUUUGUGAACCCACUGAAGACCUUCGUCUUCAACUGGCGUCACUACUGGUGCAUCCCAGUGCUGCUGCUGCUGCUGGCACUGAUCACCAUCUUCCUCUUCCUUGUCUUCUACACCAUCCCUGGCCAGAUCAGCCAGGCCAUCUUCCGCCCCCUCUACAAGUGACUCUGAGCUUGGACACUCAUACCAUGGUGCCAACCCUUCAGCUCCCCCUCCUAAAGUCCUUCCUGCCCGUGCUUUCUCUGAGUAAACACCACAUAGGCCCCAAUACCCAACUGUGCUGUACAAGGCCACCUCCUUCAGGUGGCAGAGAACAGAGAUGCUCUAGGCCCUAGAGUCUAGGGUGACCUCAGGUGCAGGGGACUUGCUGGAAGAAUGCACAGGGAUAGGAGGCCACCCGCGUGCCCUGCCAGGGAGAACAGAGCCUGACAGGAGGCUCAAAGCCAAGGAGCCUGGGGCCAAGCUGUCAUACCUCUGAGCAGCCCAGCAGCUGCUCCUGCUGGUGGCUGGGUCUCUCUCACCUAAUCUACUGAGGAUCCCACCACUCCAGAAUGCUGAGCCCUUUACACGCUUCACUAACUUGUUUACUCCCCCAUCCCCUCCACUAGGCAUACCUAUCAUUGCACACUUGUUUGCAAAUUGGCUUAAGCAAAAAGGGCAUUUUUUGGCUUACACAGCUGUAAUUCCCAGCCAGUUUGGCUGGCUUCAGGUGCAGCCUGUCACAGGGUUCAAGUGAUGUCACCAAAACUAGCUGUUUCUGCCUUGUGGUUCAGCAAUGCUUCCUCUGGGACGCACUCAUUUGCAGACGGGUUCUCCCCCAGUACUGCAGGGUCACUUCAGUGACCUGUCUCCCCAUGCUCCCAGCCAGAGGACAGUAAGCUCUCCUGCUCCUGACGGCCUGUGGCCUGCUCUGUGUCACUGUGGCCAGCAGGAUGGGGCUUGGGGUGGGAAACCAACACUCCUACCAAACCAUGAAAGUGGAAAGGCCAUUUGGGGUUCCCAAGAGAAUUCAGAGACUGUUAAUAGGAGGGAAUGGUUCUUAGAUGACCCAAAACAAAGCUCACCACAGCCUGUGUUAUCACCCCAAAUUUAGAGAUGAGGCUGGUGCCCAUAAAGAGGAAAGGGAGGUUAAAUAUGUCCAAGGUCACACAGCUUUGAGGUGAUCACAUCAGGGCUGGACCCCAGGCCUAAUUCCAGAGGUUUUGCCUUCAUCACUCUGCUUUUUUUUCUGACCCCUCUCCCUGCCUUUUGCCUACAUCAA